rnacentral:rRNA from 1 species
UACGUAGGGUGCAAGCGUUAAUCGGAAUUACUGGGCGUAAAGCGUGCGCAGGCGGUUUUGUAAGUCUGACGUGAAAUCCCCGGGCUCAACCUGGGAAUUGCGUUGGAGACUGCAAGGCUAGAAUCUGGCAGAGGGGGGGGUAGAAUUCCACGUGUAGCAGUGAAAUGCGUAGAGAUGUGGAGGAACACCGAUGGCGAAGGCAGCCCCCUGGGUCAAGAUUGACGCUCAUGCACGAAAGCGUGGGAGCAA